rnacentral:rRNA from 1 species
CCUACGGGUGGCAGCAGUGAGGAAUAUUGGUCAAUGGACGAGAGUCUGAACCAGCCAAGUAGCGUGAAGGAUGACUGCCCUAUGGGUUGUAAACUUCUUUUAUAUGGGAAUAAAAUGUUCCACGUGUGGGAUUUUGUAUGUACCAUAUGAAUAAGGAUCGGCUAACUCCGUGCCAGCAGCCGCGGUAAUACGGAGGAUCCGAGCGUUAUCCGGUUUUAUUGGGUUUAAAGGGAGCGUAGGUGGAUUGUUAAGUCAGUUGUGAAAGUUUGCGGCUCAACCGUAAAAUUGCAGUUGAAACUGGCAGUCUUGAGUACAGUAGAGGUGGGCGGAAUUCGUGGUGUAGCGGUGAAAUGCUUAGAUAUCACGAAGAACUCCGAUUGCGAAGGCAGUUCACUGGACUGCAACUGACACUGAGGCUCGAAAGUGUGGGUAUCAAACAGGAUUAGAUACCCGAGUAGUC